GACGGAGGAUGCAAGUGUUAUCCGGAAUCACUGGGCGUAAAGCGUCUGUAGGUGGUUUAAUAAGUCAACUGUUAAAUCUUGAGGCUCAACCUCAAAAUCGCAGUCGAAACUAUUAGGCUAGAGUAUAGUAGGGGUAAAGGGAAUUCCAGUGGAGCGGUGAAAUGCGUAGAGAUUGGAAAGAACACCGAUGGCGAAGGCACUUUACUGGGCUAUUACUAACACUCAGAGACGAAAGCUAGGUAG
rnacentral:rRNA from 1 species